AUGAACGACGUGCAGCGGACGGAGGCCCUGCUCCUGGCGGCGCGCUUCCUGACGGGAGGCGCCGCCAACUUCGCCGUCGCCCUGCCCAAGACUGCUCUGCCCGCCGCAGCCGCGCAGCUGGCCCGGCGUGCUCGCGAGAUUGCGGAUUCCGCGAACGAGUCUGAGUUCGACAGCUCCGGCCUGCGCGCCGCCGCCGACACGCUGUCACAGGCAGACGCGGGCAGCAGGCCCCGGGCCAUCACGGACCUGCUGCGGGAGUGCUUCCUGUUGGAGGGGCUCGCGGCCGGGAGAGACGCGGCUGCCUCGGAGGGCCUCAGGCGAGGCAUCCUGGACUUGGCGAUGGCCGGGGGGACCCUCCUCCGCGUCCUCCCGACCCGCCGUUGGGAUUUCUUGCUCUCGGCGGAGAUGGCGCAGGAUCGUGAGGAGGCCCGCGAGAGGGACGGGGCCCGUGAGGACGAGGCCGCGCCCGCGACGGCCAAGGUGGUUGCUGACGCCGCGACGCCGAAGGGGGCUACUGAGGCCACGACGACGGCGGGAUGGUGGUCGCGGCUCGCGAGCCGGUUCUCCAAGAAGAAGAGGCUGAGCGGCGGCGAGGAGACGGACCCCGAAGCUCCGCUGAUAGCACGCAGCCAGCCUGACCCCAGCCCCAGCCGCUCCCCCUCGGACUCGUCGCCGCCAUGGGGCAACUGGCUCAUUGUCCAGAUGUUUGCGCUCUCUGGGUCGAUGUGCCUACUUCCGUACAUGGGUCCUGCCGCGCUGCUCGGUAAAGACUAUUCAGAUAACUACAGGUGGUGGGUUCACCUUGCAUUUCAGAUAGUGUGGUGCUUGGUGGUCGUGGGAGUACCCUGCGCCUUGUCCGGACGGUCAUGGAUCGAGGAGCAGUAUGCCCGUUUCGCCGCUCACCUCGGGAUGUUGGGUAUCACCAUGAACAUCAUUAUGUUCUCUCACUGGAUGCUGGCCCCCAAUGCCCUGUACACCAUUGUUGUAUGGUGGGUGAGAUAUAAGCAGCUAGGAGAAAAAGCAGCAAGCAGGCACUGGAAGCUGCUUUCAUGCAAGAAGAUAUGCGCCGGCAAUCAGACGACAAACAUAAUUGAAGUACAUUCGGACCUCCGAUUUCUGUCAAACUCGGCUUGA
rnacentral:rRNA from 1 species